rnacentral:tRNA from 2 species
GCUGAAAGGCGGUAUGCUUUGACUUGUAAUCAGUAGGUCCCGGGUUCGACUCCUGGUGCCGGCACCA